CGGCGGACGGGUGAGUAACGCGUGGGUAACCUGCCUCAUACAGGGGGAUAACAGUUGGAAACGGCUGCUAAUACCGCAUAAGCGCACAGUACCGCAUGGUACGGUGUGAAAAACUCCGGUGGUAUGAGAUGGACCCGCGUCUGAUUAGGUAGUUGGUGGGGUAACGGCCUACCAAGCCGACGAUCAGUAGCCGACCUGAGAGGGUGACCGGCCACAUUGGGACUGAGGCACGGCCCAA
rnacentral:rRNA from 1 species